GGCGUAAAGGAUGCGUAGGCGGAUAAUCAAGUCAAAAGUGAAAUCCUACAGCUCAACUGUAGAACUGCUUUCGAAACUGGUUAUCUAGAAUAUGGAAGAGGCAGAUGGAAUUAG
rnacentral:rRNA from 1 species